AUACGGAGGAUCCGAGCGUUAUCCGGAUUUAUUGGGUUUAAAGGGUGCGCAGGCGGCCAUUUAAGUCAGCGGUUAAAUCGUGGGGCUCAACCCCAUUCUGCCGUUGAUACUGGGUGGCUUGAUUGCGGUCGAGGUUGGCGGAAUUCGUUGUGUAGCGGUGAAAUGCAUAGAUAUGACGAAGAACACCGAUUGCGUAGGCAGCUGGCCAGACCGCAAAUGACGCUCAUGCACGUAAGUGCUGGGAUCGAACAGGAUUAGAUACCCUUGUAGUCCGCACAGUAAACGAUGAAUACUUGUUUUCGGCGAUAUAAUGUCGGAGGCAAAGCGAAAGCGAUAAGUAUUCCACCUGGGGAGUACGCCGGCAACGGUGAAACUCAAAGGAAUUGACGGGG
rnacentral:rRNA from 1 species